rnacentral:rRNA from 1 species
GGGUGAGUAACACGUAGGUAACCUGCCUCUUGGUGGGGGAUAACCCCGGGAAACCGGGGACAAUACCGCAUGAGAUCCCGGCGGAUGAAAGAUUUAUCGCCGAGAGAGGGGCCUGCGACCGAUUAGCUUGUUGGUGGGGUAAUGGCUCACCAAGGCGAUGAUCGGUAGCUGGUCUGAGAGGAUGAUCAGCCACACUGGGACUGAAACAUGGUCCAGAGCCCUACGGGGUUUAGCAUGAAGGAAUAUUGCGCAAUGGGGGCAACCCUGACGCAGCAACGCCGCGUGGGCGAAGAAGGCCUUCGGGUCGUAAAGCCCUUUUCCGGGUGAUGAACAGUAGCCCGGGAAUAAGCCACGGCCAACUACGUGCCAGCAGCCGCGGCAAUACGUAGGUGGCGAGCGUUAUCCGGAAUUACUGGGCGUAAAGCGCGUGUAGGCGGACCGGCAGGUUGCUCGUGAAAUGUCAAGGCCCAACCUUGUCA